AGGCUCCUGGAGGCUUUAUGGGGAGGCCCAAGGCUAAGGCUGUGGAUGUUGAUUGUCAUUUCCAUUACUAGCCCAAUUAUUAGUCUGUCUUCCUGGUAAAAAUAUGUGGUUGGAAAUGCCAGACUGAGAAGCCCACUUUUCCUCACUGGGGAUCAUCUGGGUUGGCGUGUCCAUGCUCAAUGAUAAUCUCUUGCCCUUUCCUGCUCCCUGCCUAGGAUUUCUCCCCAGAGGAGAGGAGCUGAGGGACCCCCCAGGGAGGCUGCACCUGUGGCUGUCACCCUGUGAUGCCAGCGGCUUCCUUGGGUUCUGUAAUCAGAGUGUUUUUUCACCGGUGUCUGCAGUGACUGCCAGGAAGCCUCUGUGUCCAUAGCUCAGCAGGAUCCUGCCCUAAUUCCCUCUCUCAUGGGGACUCAGCUAAUUCUCACCCCAAUCUCAUUGUCACCAGUCUAGGUCAGCAUCGGAGGGAGGUGUGGGCAACUACAGCCCUUGCUGCUUCCAAGACAGACAUCAAUAGUUGAUCACUAACCUUUCCCACUCCCCACUCUCCAGCUCAAUGGACCUCACAGUCCUCAAAACCACUCCAAGCUGCUGCCAAUCAAUCUUAUUCGUAUGUGAGCAAAACCUGUUUGACAUCCUUACACCUGUACCAGCCCUCUCAGAAAGCUCUCAAUUCUGGCCUCCUUUUCUUUUUUCUUUUUUUUUUUGAAUUUAUGUUAAAAUUAGGAUGUUCCCAAUCAAAAAAUCACUUUUCCUUCAUCUAGUAAUUGGGUGAGACAAACUAGCCCCAGAAAGCAGACCAUGGGAUGAACUGCCAAGCAGGACUUUUAGGGGAGGCAAAAUGGAUUAGGAAAUGCUAAGUUCUCUGUUGAAGGAGGAUACGUGGAUUUUUUAGGCUGUCAGAGGUGGAGGGCUUCCACAGACUAUCUUGUUCCAACUUUGCACCCAUUUUGCAGGUUAGGACUCUGAGACCUCAGCAGUUCUUGUUUGGCCAGUGAGCUCAGGGAGUUAGUUCCAGGAGUGGGGGUCGGUCUUUGCACCCACUGGAUGACAGUGUGACACUGCUCAGCGCUAGACAGGGUUGAGUUGGAACUCCGCUGCUGAUGGGCUGUGUGACAUUGGUCCAGUUCCUUGCCACCUCCCCCCACCUAUUGACAAGGAGGGAAGUCAGCCCUGGAGCGUCCAGUGCUCCCUGAAAUAUUAGGUAUCCUAGGAGGGUGCGGGUGGGCUCACAUCUGGAAGAGAAAUCCCUAGAUGCAGCCACCAGUAACAGAAUCCCUCCUCCCCCGACCAACUUUGGCUGGAACCAAUGAGAGACUUUACUUUUCUCUCCUUCUGAGAAGUUUAGAUAUAGGCGGUUGCUGGCAUCGUCUCCUCAGCUUAUGGAUGUCAGAGCCAAGGCUUUGCAACUGUCAUUCCUUUAUAUCACAGCCACUUCAUGGCCCCGGAUGCUUGCUGAACCUCCAAUUUUUCAUCUGGGUUCCAGGCAGGAAGAAGGGGAGUGAGCUAGUGAAUCUGCCCUCCUCAUUAGGAGCUUUCCCAGAAGCUCCACCAGCCACUUCCGUUCUCAUCUCAUUGGACAGGACUGUGUCACAUGUUUUCCCCACAUCUACAAGGAGUCUGGGAACAUGCAUCCCAAAAAGAUGGGGGCUCUUCUAGUAAGAAUGAAGGGUAGGGUGGCUUGGAGUGGCACUUAGCUGUCUCUGCUACAGUUGGAGGAAAAAACCGGAGUUCGUCCUGACCCUCCAUGCCUUGGCCGUAUGCCCCUUGUGCAGAACUUGAAGGCAUCAUCCUUGCAGUGUGAGAGUGACUUGCCACCACGGCCUGCCACCUGCCUCUCAAGGGACCCUGAGUCCUUCAGGUCUACCCAAAGGCAUUGUAGAUAUUCUUCCUGCAAGGCUUGGGAACUGACAAACAGAUCUGCCCUGCUCGCCAGAGUUUUUGUGCAGGAACAGCCCCUCCCGUCUUUGUCCUGGCCGUGAGCACCCAGGGCUAAGCUUUUGAACACUUUCUUUGUGUUUGGAUUCAGCCCAGGCAAUGCAUAUUUGCUUUCAUUUCUUCUUGAGCUUGAGGAGCUCCUGGGUGCAAAUCUUGGAAAGUGAGGAUCGCUGAGCCUUUCCAGGCCAGCUCUUUGUUUUCUAGCAGACAAUUUAGGCUUUGAAAAGGAAAGUGGGUGGGGGCACCCCACAGGUGGCCCUCAUCACCCAAUUGCCAGUGCCUGCAGGCUCCUUCAGCAGAGGCCCAGAGUCAAAGAGGACUUAAAACCAGCUGUCGUUUCUCCCUUAGCUUCUAUGUACGAGAGAAAUGCCUUCUGCUUUUCAAAGUAAGAACAAGGAGGAAUUUGUUUCUAAAAGAACAUUAAAACACAGGCUCGUGGUCUAAAAGCAAAUGGUUCAGCAGGAUGUUCAGGGCCUUAAAGCACAGUCAGCAGGACUCAGCGUCUCCCAGCGCCUGCUCUCCGGUUGUCAUGGUAACAUCAUCCCCAACCCAACCACCUUGUCCAGCCGAGAGACAGCAAUCACAAGGAGGGACCUCGGUUUCCCCCGAGGAUCCUGAGCUUCCUUUCUGAAACUCUGGCUUCUGAGCUCAGCAACCAGGAACACCAGGCCAGCCCAUCCCCAGCACCUCUGUGGAGAUGAGGGACAAAGUCCUACAGCCCCUCUUCCUGUUCUGAUGAGAAAGGGAGGGAAGGAAACAUACCCCGAGGGCCUGCAAUAUGGUCAUGACACUUUCAAAAAGCCUGUGCUAUGGAGUCAUGAUCAGAAACCAGGUGCAGAAACCAGAGUGUGGAGAGGGUCAGCAGCCUUCCUCAGAGCAGCCAGCUAGCGGGGGAAAUGGUAAAUUUGGGACUUGUACCCAGGCAUGACUGGCUCUGAGCCCAAUGCUCCACUCUAUGGAAUGUUCCCUGGGCCUCAGUUGCUCUCCUUUCCUUGGCAGGCUGCGGGCUGCUGCCACUCUGGCAGCUGGUGAGCUAG